UGGCUGUAGCUAAAAUGUCAGAUGUUUACUGGCCGGUUGUUGUGAGAUACACUCUCUGUCGACAGAUCUGCUUACCGAACUUCGUACAUUA